AAUGCUGGUACACACGAAAAGCAUGUUACUUCCCUCACAAGUCACUGAAAUAAUGAGUCAGACCAUGACAAGCUUCAGGAGGACUUAACAGGAGUCAAGAGUAUGGGUAUCUGGCCUGUUGCUACUAUGGAACCUGCGGAAAGGAGUGAGUGGUCAGGAGGUGGGAAAUAACAGCUGGAAAAGAGGCACUGGGCCUGGACCUCGCUGUGGCAGAAGAGUGGUCAGGCCCUGCAGCCCAACACUGCCCCAAAGGCCCUGCUCCUUCCCAGAACUUCUGUCCUAAGCCUGAAGCCAUAGUAACACAGAGGUGUACACAAAGCAAACCACAAAAAAUAAACAGUUUUUC